UGGGAUGUGACGUACUCUUCUAAGCAGAUCUGUGCCCGUAAAGGAUUGACUGUGGAGAUGAGCUGCACCUUUCCAUACCCAGAGGGAAUAAACGAGGAAGUUAACACACUUCAGGAAACAUUUUGGUCUACUGAUGAUCCUGAAUAUGAAGUGGAUGUUAAAGAAGACUCCAAGUAUUCAGGCCGUGUGCAGAAUACCUGUGUGGGGAACAAGUGUACUCUGAGAAUCACAGACGUGAGAGAGACAGACAGGGCUGUAUACAUGUUCAUAUUGAAAACAAACAUCAGCAGAUAUUUAAGUAGAUCUGGGGUCUACCUGAUUGUCACAGAUCUCCAGGUGCACGUGAUCAGACAAGCGGCUCGACUCUUUUCUUGUCUCAACGGAUGUUCUAAAGAAACCAUCUGGUUCAAGAAUGGAGAGGAAAUCAAAAAUGAAACAUCAUCUCAUUAUUCAUCAGAGCAGGUUCUUCAGACAGACAGUUAUUCCUGUGCUGUACGAGGACAUGAGAAGUUCCCGUCUCCUCCAGUGUAUGCUCCAAAGCCUCCUUCUGUGUCAGUGAGUUCCCACGAUG